rnacentral:rRNA from 1 species
CCAGACUCCUACGGGACGCAGCAGUGGGGAAUAUUGCACAAUGGGGGAAACCCUGAUGCAGCAACGCCGCGUGAGUGAGGAAGUAUUUCGGUAUGUAAAGCUCUAUCAGCAGGGAAUAGAAAAGAAGGUACCUGAAAAAGAAGCCCCGGCUAACUACGUGCCAGCAGCCGCGGUAAUACGUAGGGGGCAAGCGUUAUCCGGAUUUACUGGGUGUAAAGGGAGCGUAGACGGAAAGGCAAGUCAGAAGUGAAAGCCCAAGGCUCAACCAUGGGACUGCUCUUGGAACUGCAUGGCUGGAGUACAGGAGGGGCAGGCGGAAUUCCUAGUGUAGCGGUGAAAUGCGUAGAUAUUAGGAGGAACACCGGUGGCGAAGGCGGCCUGCUGGACUGUGACUGACGUUGAGGCCCGAAGGCGUGGGGAGCAAACAGGAUUAGAUACCCCUGUAUC